rnacentral:rRNA from 1 species
GCACAAGCGGUGGAGCAUGUGGUUUAAUUCGAUGCAACGCGAAGAACCUUACCUACUCUUGACAUCCUGCGAACUUGUGAGAGAUCACUUGGUGCCUUCGGGAGCGCAGAGACAGGUGCUGCAUGGCUGUCGUCAGCUCGUGUUGUGAAAUGUCGGGUUAAGUCCCGUAACGAGCGCAACCCUUGUCCUUAUUUGCCAGCGGGUAAUGCCGGGAACUCUAAGGAGACUGCCGGUGACAAACCGGAGGAAGGUGGGGACGACGUCAAGUCAUCAUGGCCCUUACGAGUAGGGCUACACACGUGCUACAAUGGCCGGUACAAAGGGUUGCGAGCUCGCGAGAGUCAGCUAAUCCCGAAAAGCCGGUCUCAGUCCGGAUCGGAGUCUGCAACUCGACUCCGUGAAGUCGGAAUCGCUAGUAAUCGUGAAUCAGAAUGUCACGGUGAAUACGUUCCCGGGCCUUGUACACACCGCCCGU